CAUGACAAGAAAUUCAGAGGUGGGAAAGCCAGGGCUGCUGCAGCUGCUUUCGGCUGCAUUUCUUCUUUUGGUCCUCCGCACCAGCGAGCAUGUGGCUUGCAUCCUCGUGCCUACAGCAUGGCUGCUGUGCCUACAGGCCUCACACAGAAGUCCCGCUCACCAAGGAAGCAUUUUUAAUCCUUUUUAAAAAGUUGAAGUAAGAUUUAUAUGCAGAGAAAGGCAAUGAAUGAGUUCCUGCUGCUCUACAACCUUGCCAACAUUUGGAAUUGUCAGUGUUCUGGAUUUUAGCCAUUCUAUUAGGGUUUGACAGUAGGGCUUUGUGUGCACUCUGAAACUGAAGGAGGAACUGACAGCAGCUUUUUACAUUUUCUGUUUCAGGUUAUAACAGGGUUCAAGAUGUGUACUUUCAUGGAAAAUGAUGUUUCCAUCUUUUCAAUGGUUGUUUGGCUCAAAGGGGUGGAUCAAGAACAAGGAACAUUAAUUGGUAGAGAGAAAGAAAAAAAAGUGACCAAUAAAGAAUCCCCUGAUCACUGUGUGGGCUGCAAAUAGCUGGGAUCAGACCACCCAUCCUGCUGUGUCCAACGCUCUGUGACUCCUGGAGCCAUGGUAUAAACCGAAUCUGCAGGGAGUGGCACACGCACACGUCUUUAAUUUCCAUUUCCUCAUUAUCAUCUCUUAUAUUCUACUGCUCAACAUGAAAAAAAAAAAAAGAGUGUGAGAUAUUGCUAAUAAACUGAUCCUUUCAAGCUUAGGAUCACAGCCCCGACAAUCAGAGUCCUUAAAGUUCUUGCUGCUAAAUCCAAGUGAGUUUUGUUUAGAUGACAAAGGACCGAUGCUCUACUGUGAGGACUACAGUGCCAGAAAUACAAAUGACCAAGACAUUCUUGAUGAAGAGGAUUUAUUACAUCAUCAGGGCCAUCUACCCUAGAAAUCAGCAGACAG
rnacentral:lncRNA from 1 species